GCGAAGGUGGUAUAGUGGUAGCACAUCACGUUGUGGCCGUGUUGACCCCGGUUCGAUUCCGGGCCUUCGCA